rnacentral:rRNA from 1 species
AGGACGAACGCUGGCGGCGUGCUUAACACAUGCAAGUCGAGCGGUAAGGCCUCCUUCGGGGGGUACACGAGCGGCGAACGGGUGAGUAACACGUGGGUGACCUGCCCUCAGCUCUGGGAUAAGCCUGGGAAACCGGGUCUAAUACCGGAUAGGACUGCUUGCCGCAUGGUGGGUGGUGGAAAGUUUUUUCGGCUGGGGAUGGGCCCGCGGCCUAUCAGCUUGUUGGUGGGGUGAUGGCCUACCAAGGCGGUGACGGGUAGCCGGCCUGAGAGGGGCGACCGGCCACGACUGGGACUGAGACACGGCCCAGACUCCUACGGGAGGCAGCAGUGGGGAAUAUUGCGCAAUGGGCGGAAGCCUGACGCAGCGACGCCGCGUGGGGGAUGACGGCCUUCGGGUUGUAAACCUCUUUCGUCAUCGACGAAGCCCUUCGGGUGACGGUAGGUGGAGAGAAGCACCGGCCAACUACGUGCCAGCAGCCGC